CAGCCGCCGCGGUGAUACGUAGGGUGCGAGCGUUGUCCGGAAUUAUUGGGCGUAAAGAGCUUGUAGGCGGUCUGUCGCGUCGAAAGUGAAAACUCAGGGCUCAACCCUGAGCCUGCUCUCGAUACGGGCAGACUAGAGGAAGGUAGGGGAGAACGGAAUUCUUGGUGGAGCGGUGGAAUGCGCAGAUAUCAGGAAGAACACCGGUGGCGAAGGCGGUUCUCUGGACCUUUCCUGACGCUGAGAAGCGAAAGCGUGGGGAGCAAACAGGCUUAGAUACCCUGGUAGUCCACGCCGUAAACGGUGGGUACUAGGUGUGGGGGACAUUCCACGUUCUCCGUGCCGCAGCUAACGCAUUAAGUACCCCGCCUGGGGAGUACGGCCGCAAGGCUAAAACUCAAAGGAAUUGACGGGGCCCCGCACAAGCGGCGGAGCAUGCGGAUUAAUUCGAUGCAACGCGAAGAACCUUACCUGGGUUUGACAUAUACCGGAAACGUCUAGAGAUAGGCGCCCCCUUGUGGUCGGUAUACAGGUGGUGCAUGGCC
rnacentral:rRNA from 1 species